AGUGAACGCUGGCGGUAGGCCUAACACAUGCAAGUCGAACGGCAGCACAGUAAGAGCUUGCUCUUACGGGUGGCGAGUGGCGGACGGGUGAGGAAUACAUCGGAAUCUACUUUUUCGGGGGGGAUAACGUAGGGAAACUUACGCUAAUACCGCAUACGACCUACGGGUGAAAGCAGGGGAUCUUCGGACCUUGCGCGAUUGAAUGAGCCGAUGUCGGAUUAGCUAGUUGGCGGGGUAAAGGCCCACCAAGUCGACGAUCCGUAGCUGGUCUGAGAGGAUGAUCAGCCACACUGGAACUGAGACACGGUCCAGACUCCUACGGGAGGCAGCAGUGGGGAAUAUUGGACAAUGGGCGCAAGCCUGAUCCAGCCAUAGCGCGUGGGUGAAGAAGGCCUUCGGGUUGUAAAGCCCUUUUGUUGGGAAAGAAAAGCAGCAGGUUAAUACCCCGCUGUUCUGACGGUACCCAAAGAAUAAGCACCGGCUAACUUCGUG
rnacentral:rRNA from 1 species